UACAGAGGGUGCAAGCAUUGAUCGGAUUUAUUGGGCGUAAAGGGUGCGUAGGCGGACUUUUAAGUCUGAUGUGAAAGACUGGUACUCAAUACCAGCAGUGCAUUGGAUACUGAUAGUCUUGAGGGUAGGUGGAGAAAGCGGAAUUCCAUGUGUAGCGGUGAAAUGCGUAGAUAUAUGGAAGAACACCUGUGGCGUAAGCGGCUUUCUAACUUACUUCUGACGCUGAGGCACGAGAGCGUGGGGAGCAAACAGG
rnacentral:rRNA from 1 species